UUUUAUGGUGGCUGUGCGUGGGAGACCUUCGGGUCUGCCGGGUUCCUAUUGUCCCGGCCCGUCAACCUGCGCACAGCUGCCACCCUA
rnacentral:antisense_RNA from 1 species